rnacentral:tRNA from 1 species
CGGGGCGUGGCGCAGCCUGGUUAGCGCACCUGCUUUGGGAGCAGGGGGUCGGAGGUUCAAAUCCUCUCGCCCCGACCA